AAUAGGAAAGAAAAGAAAAUAACAUAAAAAUAUCCAGACAGUGGGUGGACCACUGAAAAAAAGUGGUAUGGAUAAGCAGCUUGGGCCAAGGCCAACAUUUCAGGCCUACUAGCAUGGUUUCAAAGUUGCAUGGGGGUGUAUUCAGUGAUGGGGUGUCAAAAUGAAACAAUUAUUGGUCCAAGGUCCAUAAGGCCCGAAUAUAACACAUGAGGAAGGAAUUCCCUCAGUCCAUACACAGUAAGUUCAACAUAACCAAAUCGGAUUCCAAACACCAUGACCGGAGAAAAGUCACCCUUCACCGCGUCGGGAGUGCCUCCGACAGUGGCGGAGGGCCAACUACCCUAAAUCAUAUGCCAUAAUUCUCGUAUCAGUCUCAACAUCCUAAAUCCAUUAACUAAUUAACCUAUAUCUAAACCCAUAGAUCCAAUCGAAGCAAGGUGCACGUGAACCCUAAGUUAGAGAUCUAGCAAUUGAAUGGCACACAGGGGAUUUCAAAGGCCCAUAGGUUGGGGAUUUGGUUCCUCUAACCUCGGGCUACAUUCUAGUAAUCUAAGCAAAAUGAAACAAGGUGGAAUUGAUAAUUUACCUUCCAGAGACGACAACAGAGACGGUGGUAACGAUAACGAAAUCCACAAGCCUUUUAAACUCUGGCAUGCUCUUGUGUUGUUUACUUCUUAUGCAUUGUAGAAUGACUUGGGUUUUGCAGGGUACCUGAGGUCUGCACUUGGCCUUAUAUUGCUUUUGUCUUGGACAAUAUUGAUGUUUGCAGGUGCGUGAAUGUAAGGCUAUGUUCUUGCAUGAGUUAUGUUAGAACAAAGUUGCUAUGUUAGAAUGCUCUUGAUUUCCAAAAAGUUCCCACUAUAUACUGCCAUGAAUUGUGUGUUAAUUACAAAGCCAUGUUAGUUUCUAUGUGAUGCUAUUACUGCGGGGCUGUUAAUGAAUUGAAUUGAGAUUGUUAGUGAAUUGGAUGCUAGUUGCUAGUUAACUACUAGAUGAUAUAUUGAUGGGAUGAACCACAUUGCAAGUUUGUGGUUGAGUUGUGCAUGUCAUUUUGUGAAUGAUAGUUUUGUCAUCCAACAGUUUUGUUAAGUUGAGAUUUUUGCGAACUGUCAUGGCAUUGUAGAAUUUGUUUUGGAAUUUCAUUGUAGUCUUGUGUUCAGAUUGUAUGCCACUGACUUAGGUAAUUUGCAGGGUUCUCUGUAGCUUGCCAGGUUGAAGGUGAUUGUGGUUCUUGUUUGUAGAGUGGUUCAGUUGCUUAUGUGUUCAUUGUUUUGUUUUGGCAUUUCGUUUGCAGCAUGGUUAGGAAAACGAUUCUGAUGUAUUGGUUGUAUUGAUGAUGUUGGGAAUAUCAGUUUGUGAUGGUUGUGUUAGAGAUGCAUGAUAUGUAAACUUGUGAAUCAUGGUCUUGUAUUUCCUUGCAGAUGGCUUCAUACGAAUUGCAUUACAAUAAACAUGUAUAUUCUGACUUAUGCAGCAGGUCUACACUGCAUUAUUGACUCUUUAUUCUACAUCAGGUAUAUAAUGUAACAGGUAUGCAGU